AUGCUUCCUCCAUACAUAGUAAAAUUAGAACAAUACAGAGAAAAUUAGCUAGGCCACUGCACAAGGAUAACAUGCAAAUUUGUGAAGCAUUCCAUAUUAAA
rnacentral:snRNA from 1 species